GUGGCAUAUUGGAUCAAUCUUUCGCCUGAAAUUUUCAUUUCAUCACUCACUAAUCACAUAACAUAAAUAUAACUAAUUAAAUAUCUACGUGACAACUGUCCUUGUCCCAUGAUAGAAAACCUGCAACCAUCGAAGAAAAAGACGGCGAUCUCUAAGUAUAGCUGAACUUUUAAAUCUUCUUCAUACAUGUUAACACAGACACCGAUAUCGAAAAACUUAUGGAUUGGAAUCUGCAUAUAAAUCUGUUCAUCUUCAAGAUUGAGUGUAACUUUAGAUCAUCGCUGUAUAUGCGCGGACACAUUGAACUAGAGAAGUCGGCUCACCGAAAUUCGCUGUAGGCGGAUAUCUACAUCUCGAAAAUAUAUGGACAACAGGGAAAAAUAGGUCAUAACUGCGUAUAAAUGUGCAAGACUGCAGCGAUUUGGCUUCAUAGAAUAAGGGUAGUUCAGCCACCAAUCGAGUGACGUAAGGUUAAGGUUAAGAUGUCAGAGGCUGUCAAAACCAGUUACAAGUUGAUUGAUGAGAAAAGAUGAAUGAAUCAGCAGUCGCAGUUUGUCAUGAGGGUUGCUUGGGGCGGUCGUUUUAUGACGUCACCGACACCGCACCCCGUCACGUGGUUCCUUACCAGCUGGCAAUCGAUCGUCGCACAUCCUGUACCCACCCUCUAUUGCCAACUUUAACGCAGAGAUACUUCACUUGACAUUGUACAAAAAAAAAGUGUCCGAUGCUCUUAAUCAUGCCCUUUUAAAUAAAAUUUAAAAUAAUUAUAAA